GAAGGAAACAAAAGGGGAGAGGAAAUAGCGGGCAGAGUAAAUCCCUCUCCUUUCGUCGAAAACGUUGUUAGCAGGGUGAAUUUAGGUCGCGUGAUUCUUUUCUCACCUCUCGCUCCCUCAACCCCUCUCGCAGGGAUGGGCAUUGCGAUCGUU